CCGCCCCGUCGCCGACCCCGUCACUGACCCCGUCGCUGGCCCCGUCGCCCGCCAGCCCACCUGCUCCUUACUUCCCCGUGUCCUGUUUUCCCGACAAGGGGAAUCACCGAAGGCCGAGGACCCUGGGCGCCAGCCCGGAACCCGGCGCUCCCUGGGUGCUAUGGUAACUGACGCAUUGUGAGGCCACGGCUUCGAGAAAGCCCUUUCUGCCUCAAUUUAUACAACUGGACACUUGCUUGGAAGAGAUGUCGAGAGGAAAGGUUGUUUUUGGUCAAAGGCAUGAAAACUAGUUUUUAGGAAGGUUUUUGUUGGAUUCCGCUGUCUUCUUGCCUCUUCCCCAUUUGAACCCUGGCGUCUGUUCCCCCUUCUUCGUCCUCCAUAUAAUACAGAUAAACGGGGCCGCGAGUGCUGACCACAACCGGAAAAACCGCCACACAAACUAGAAGUAGCUCGUGAUGGGCGCCACGGGCAGGAUGCUCGUGGGUGGGUGGAGGGGGCGCCGCUGGAGCGACCUUCCCUCGGGUGUCAAGGAAGCUGUGGGCAUCUUGUGGGAAGGAAAGAGAAGGAUUCUGUGGCGUACUUGUUGACCUUGGAUCCGGGGCACACACUUUCAAAGCAUAGAGUGGUAGAGACUGUGGAAGUGUCCGAAAAGUGGCAGCCGGGGCCUUUCCUCAUUCCUUCUAAGGAAAAGAUGAAGCUGUGUUAAACAAUAGGGAAUAAUAAUAAUAAUAAUAAUAAUAAUAAUAAUACCUGUCAUCUGUGUGCAGUGGUUCAUCAUUUUCAAAACCGCUUCACAUUUUUUAUUUUGCCUUGAUAGCCAGUCGAAUACUAAACAAUCACGAUGGGUGAUCAAUAUGAUGAAGGCGCGACGCUCAAAGCAGGACUGGAGAGAAUGUGGAUGAUCUAAGGCAUUUGUUGUACAAGUGUAAUUUUUCAGUUAGGACACGUGCACAUUUCCGAAUUGCAGGGAAGGGAAACCAAAGCCGCCCGCCUGUGUCUCAUGAGUCCAGGAAGGCUGCUCAGUGGGCAGCUGCAUUUCAUUACCUUUGGCUUUGGGGCAGGUUCAGAGGUGAGGGAGCUCUCUUUUUCAUGUCCCUGUUAUUAACUGUCUGAUACGUAUUAAAAUUUGGGUUAAAGGAUAUUUUAAAUUAUGGAAUAAGUAACUCGGGCUGUAUCUCAGAUCCUUGACAAGUGACAAGCCUGGGUUUCCAGAACAAUACUCCGUGUAGGGUCCAGAUGCAAAUACCACUGAUAACAGCUACCAGGUGACUGAAUAAAGAAAGUGUAGUCUGUGUAUACA
rnacentral:lncRNA from 1 species